rnacentral:misc_RNA from 1 species
GAUGAAGAACGCAGCGAAAUGCGAUAAGUAAUGUGAAUUGCAGAAUUCAGUGAAUCAUCGAAUCUUUGAACGCACCUUGCACCCUUUGGCAUUCUGAAGGGUAUGCUCGUUUGAGUGUCAUUGUACUCUCACACUCCCGAUCUUUGCAUUGGGAGCAGUGGACUUGGGUUUGCUGCUUCACCGUCACUUACCUCAAAUAGGUUAGUGCAACUCUUGGUUGGACAUAGUACGGCGUGAUAAGUGUUCUUCGCCGGUGCCUCGCAAAGAGGGUGGCCGAUCGGGAUGUUGUGCUCCAAACCGUCUUCGGACAAUCUCUGACGACUUGACCUCAAAUCGAGUAAGACUACCCGCUGAACUUAAGCAUAUCAAUAAGCGGAGGA